rnacentral:rRNA from 1 species
UCGCUACUACCGAUUGAAUGAUUUAGUGAGCUGCAGGGACUGUUUCCCACAAAGUCUCUUUGUUGGGUGAUGGGAACUGCUACAAACUUGACCAUUUAGAGGAAGUAA